rnacentral:misc_RNA from 1 species
AACCGCUGUAUACGGGACCGUACGUACGGUGGUGUGAGAGGACGAUAGAUAAAAUAAUUAUCUAUCUCCUACUCGAU